rnacentral:rRNA from 1 species
GACCAAGAGACUAAGUUAUAUGUUUAGGUAAAAAGAUGGUUAAAUUAGAGAAAGUUUAGUGAUUUUCCAUAUAAGGGUAAAAUCUGUAUAUGGAAAAUUAAUUUCGAAAAGACUAAAUCGUUGAAGCCAUGAUAGUUUUGAGGGAAACUGGGAUUAGAUACCCCACUAUUCAUAAUUGUAAAUUGAUAGUAAUUUACCAGAGUACUAUGAAUAAAUAAAAUUUAAAACUCAAAGAACUUGGCGGUGUUUUAGACCAAUUAGGGGAACCUGUCUCGUAAUCGACAAUCCACGUUAUAUCUAACCUUUUUUUGUAGACAGUUUGUAUACCGUCGUCGUCAGGUAACUUUUAAAAACAAAGAAGUUGGCAUAAAUAAUAAGAUUAAUUAAGACGUCAGAUCAAGGUGCAGCUUAUAAAAAGGAGAGGAUGGGUUACAAUUAUAAAAUAAUAAUUACGGAUAGUUUAUUGAAAAAAGCUUUAAGGAGGACUUAAAAGUAAUAUUAUAAUAUAUAAAUAAUUUGAAUUAGGCUCUGAAACGUGC